CCUACGGGGGGCAGCAGUGAGGAAUAUUGGUCAAUGGACGCAAGUCUGAACCAGCCAUGCCGCGUGCAGGAAGACGGCUCUAUGAGUUGUAAACUGCUUUUGUACGAGGGUAAACGCAGAUACGUGUAUCUGUCUGAAAGUAUCGUACGAAUAAGGAUCGGCUAACUCCGUGCCAGCAGCCGCGGUAAUACGGAGGAUUCAAGCGUUAUCCGGAUUUAUUGGGUUUAAAGGGUGCGUAGGCGGUCGGAUAAGUUAGAGGUGAAAUCCCGAGGCUCAACUUCGGAAUUGCCUCUGAUACUGUUAGGCUAGAGAGUAGUUGCGGUAGGCGGAAUGUAUGGUGUAGCGGUGAAAUGCUUAGAGAUCAUACAGAACACCGAUUGCGAAGGCAGCUUACCAAGCUGCAUCUGACGUUGAGGCACGAAAGCGUGGGGAGCAAACAGGAUUAGAUACCCGAGUAGUC
rnacentral:rRNA from 1 species